AUUGAACGCUGGCGGCAGGCCUAACACAUGCAAGUCGAGCGGAGCGGCGGACGGGUGAGUAAUGCCUAGGAAUCUGCCUGGUAGUGGGGGAUAACGUCCGGCAACGGGCGCUGAUACCGCAUCCUAUCAGAUGAGCCUAGGUCGGAUUAGCUAGUUGGUGUGGUGAAGGCCUGCCAAGGCGACGAUCCGUAACUGGGCUGAGAGGAUGAUCAGUCACACUGGAACUGAGAGACUGUGCAGAGUCCGAGGGGAGGAAGCAGGGGGGAAUAUUGGGAAAUUGGCGAAAGCCUGAUACAGUCAUGCCGCGUGUGUGAAGAAGGGAUUAGGAUUGUCAAGCACUUUAAGUUGUGAGGCGUUACUAGCAGAAUAAGCACCGGCUAACUUCGUGCCAGCCGCCGCGGUAAUAC
rnacentral:rRNA from 1 species